ACGUGAGGCGUGGCUUACGAAGCCGACGAGUUAAAUCGCCCGCGGGGGGAGUACGGCCGCAAUGUUAAAACUCAAAUGAAUUGACGGGGGCCCGCACAAGCGGUGGAGCAUGUGGUUUAAUUCGAUGCAACGCGAAGAACCUUACCUGGUCUUGACAUCCACAGAACUUAGCAGAGAUGCUUUGGUGCCUUCGGGAACUGUGAGACAGGUGCUGCAUGGCUGUCGUCAGCUCGUGUUGUGAAAUGUUGGGUUAAGUCCCGCAACGAGCGCAACCCUUAUCCUUUGUUGCCAGCGGUUAGGCCGGGAACUCAAAGGAGACUGCCAGUGAUAAACUGGAGGAAGGUGGGGAUGACGUCAAGUCAUCAUGGCCCUUACGACCAGGGCUACACACGUGCUACAAUGGCAUAUACAAAGAGAAGCGACCUCGCGAGAGCAAGCGGACCUCAUAAAGUAUGUCGUAGUCCGGAUUGGAGUCUGCAACUCGACUCCAUGAAGUCGGAAUCGCUAGUAAUCGUAGAUCAGAAUGCUACGGUGAAUACGUUCCCGGGCCUUGUACACACCGCCCGUCACACCAUGGGAGUGGGUUGCAAAAGAAGUAGGUAGCUUAACCUUCGGGAGGGCGCUACCACUUUGAUACCGGC
rnacentral:rRNA from 1 species